CCUGCCCAGUGACUAUAUGUUCAACGGCCGCAGUAUUUUAACCGCGCGAAGGUAGCGCAAUCACUUGUCCUUUAAAUGGGGACCAGUAUGAAUGGCAUCACGAAGGCUUAACUGUCUCCUCUUUCAAGUCAAUGAAAUUGAUCUCCCCGUGCAGAAGCGGGUAUACUAACAUAAGACGAGAAGACCCUAUGGAGCUUUAGAUAUUAAGCAGACUGUGUCAAGCACCCAUUAAAGGACUAAACUUAACGGCCCCUGUCUUAAUACCUUUGGUUGGGGCGACCAUGGGGAAUAAGAACCCCCCACGUGGACUGGAGACCUAUCAUCGUCUAAUAAAACUAAGAGCCCCCGCUCUAAUACUCAGACACUCUGACCAAAUAGAUCCGGCAAAGCCGAUCAACGGACCGAGUUACCCUAGGGAUAACAGCGCAAUCCCCUUUUAGAGCCCAUAUCGACAAGGGGGUUUACGACCUCGAUGUUGGAUCAGGACAUCCUAAUGGUGCAGCCGCUAUUAAGGGUUCGUUUGUUCAACGAUUAAAGUCCUACGUGAUCU
rnacentral:rRNA from 1 species